UCUUUUCUCUCUCUUUUUCUCCUCCUGCCUCUAUUCUCUUCCCUCUCAACUGUAUAAGGUUAAUCAUCUGACCUUUGAAGAACUGUGUAACGUUAAUCGAUUUUAGGAUUUACGUCUGUGGUUCGUCAGAUCUGGAGCUUUGAUUAACUGAUCUUGAAUCUCAUUUUUAGAAGAGGAGGAGGUAUUACAGAGAAUAGAUGUAUCAAAGUGAAGUAAAGAAGUUACAAGGGAACAUGAGAUGUUUUAGAAAUCAGGAAGAAGAGGGAACAUGAGAUGUUUUAGAAAUCAGGAAGAAGAGGGAACAUGAGACGUUUUCUGUAAUGGAAUUUGGAAAUCAGUAUUAAGUUGGAUUUCGGUGGUUGCCAGUGUCUGUAAUAAGACAAGAAGUAGCUGCUGGGAAGGAAUUUGAUGGUGGACAACUGGGUGAUUGUGAAAUAUUCAAUGGGUUCCGGUUUCAUGGAUUUGGUCAUCAUCUCUGUGUUAAGUAAGUUUGCACUGUAAUGGAUGCUGAUCAUUUGUGGUUGGUUCAUCUUGUAAACUUGAAGAGGGAGACUGUGUUGACGCCACUUGGUUGAGGAGCUCUCUAACCAGUUUUUCGCCACCAUCUGCAUAACCACUUCACCUGCAUACAUCAUCACAGUGACCACCAGUCUCCAUCAUCAACUUUCAUUCACCACCACCAUCACAGCUGGGCAAAAAAGCAAAAGAAUUGAAGAAAGCAGCUGAUGCACUCCGCCAAGAGGAGAAAAACGGUGCUAAGGGGAGAAAAUAGCGCCAAAAUGUCAAGGUUGUUGAAAAGGUACCAACUCAUUUCUUCUAGGUGUUGAGAUGUAUCGUUAGAGCAGGUGAGGCGCAGUGUUGUAGAUUUGAGACAGAAACAUUAAGCAAGAGAAGGCAGAGACUGUUAUGUGAGUUUUGUGCUCCUAGUUGUAAACAGAUGUUGUAUGAGCUUUAUACCGCACAUAACUUAGUAAUACUCUUAAGUUUCUAAGCAGAUAUUGUGAUGCAGGGCAUAAUGUGUCACUUUAGAGUUUCUCUAUUUAGGAAUAUGUUUGCUAGAUUAUCUCUCAAAAAAGGGCGUUUGUGUCCGUUAGUGUAGGGUUUUUUCUGUUUAGGUUUCCUUUGCUAGUAUAAAUAGGUUAUUAGGACUUCUUUAGGAGGCAGACUUUAUUAUUGAUUUUAUAUGAAAAUAAUCGUUAGAUUACCAAUGAGUAAUUUGGUUGCUA